rnacentral:tRNA from 1 species
AUGCCGUGUCUUGCGGACUUUUAAUCCGUUGGUCGCUGGUUCGAAUCCAGCACGGCCUA